rnacentral:rRNA from 1 species
UACGAAGGGGGCUAGCGUUGCUCGGAAUCACUGGGCGUAAAGCGCACGUAGGCGGCUUUCUAAGUCAGGGGUGAAAUCCUGGAGCUCAACUCCAGAACUGCCUUUGAUACUGGAGAGCUUGAGUCCGGAUGAGGUGAGUGGAACUCCGAGUGUAGAGGUGAAAUUCGUAGAUAUUCGGAAGAACACCAGUGGCGAAGGCGGCUCACUGGUCCGGUACUGACGCUGAGGUGCGAAAGCGUGGGGAGCAAACAGG